rnacentral:lncRNA from 1 species
CGGUUAGCUUUUUCAACGUCAUACUGCUUGCAACCUAAUGCAAAAAGUCUAAUAACUUUAACAUGAAUACAUAUGCGGUAAAAGCAAAGGUCAAAAUCUAGAACGUUAAAUUAAUAUAUGACCUUGAGCUCAAUUUCAAGGUCAUAAACCAAGGACCUCAAAUCAAAAGACUCUAGGUCUUUACUUUAUAUUGUUAAUGAGUUAUAUUACCAUACGACUGAUAUUAGAUAUAAAAGGGGGGAAAACUAACAUCAAAUGUUUACGUACCCUUUUGACUAAAAUUUAUGUGUAACUACAUGUCGCGACUAACAAUUGUGUGAAAAUAUUUUGUCAAUAUCUUAUAAGAUUUCUGAAAAUGAUCGAUAACAAGCCAAAGUCAAAAUUUUGAACAUGACCUUGAACUUUGACCUUGACCUCAUUUUCAUUUUUUUGAACCAAGGACCUCAAAUCAAAAGACCCUAGGCCUAUGUCACUUAUCGUUUACCAGUUAGAAAUGCAAAUCAGUUAUGUCAUAUACAAAAGGGGGGAUAACUCUCAUAUGGAGUCUCCGGAUAGCUUCGACUAAAAUUAUUCAUUUCAUUCUGAGGAUAUAACGAGCAAUUUGGUAAAAUAAAUUUGUCGGUUUCAUAUACGGUUUCGACAUAUAAGUAAUAACAAGAAAAACAGUGUUCGGGGAGAUAACUCUUACAUGGAUAAGAUUUUGGUUACGCGGUGUCAGUUUCACAAGCGUAUUAAUUGUUCGAUAUCAUAUACCAUAUAUCUAAGCAACAUCUUGCGAAACAAAAAAAUUGCGAAGGAACAAAAAGUUGGCGGAAGAAAAAAAAUAAUAAUAAUAAUAAUAAUAAUAAUCAGAAGAAAACCAAUAGGUCUUUCCACGGAAAAGUGGAAAGACCUAAUAAUAAUCAGAAGAAAUACAGUAAGGUCUUUCCUUAUAGAAAAAGGAAAGACCUUAAUUAUUUGUCUUCAUGUGAUAAAAUGCUACUUAUGAGGGUGGUACAGUUGCAUUAGUAGUAUGUUUGAAUGAAGGUGGAAAUAAAAAACACUGUUGUUAGUGGAAUGUUUGAAUGAAAGGUGGAAAUAAUACAACACUGCUUAUAUUUUUCACUUUUGGUAAUAUAUUAUUACGAUACAGCAGAUAUGUUUUGAAUGAGACAUACAUUACUUGUGCCAUUGUCUAUAUUUUACAGUAUUUAUGAAAAAUCAUAUCCAAUUUAAGUGAAAAUAGUAUUUUAUAAAAAAAGAUGUUAAUAAUAUAUGCCUCCACCUAACAGGGUCACAAGCAUAUGUGUGAUCAUGGCUGUCUAUCUUUCACUCACACUUUUGAUUUUAGAACAUUUAUUAAAGGUCAGUGUGAGCAGAAUUUUUACUUUUUAGUGGAUGCUUUUAUAGAUAAUAAAACACAGGUUUUUGUAUUUGCUUGUUUGAUUUAAUGGUUCCUGUGCAAGUUUUAUGUAUCUGACCUCAA